rnacentral:lncRNA from 1 species
AAAAUGGAAGAAGAAUGAAAGAGCAAACCCUAGAAAAGAUGAAAAGGAGCCUAAGCAUCCAAGAGAUCCUCUCCAGAGAGCAAAAUUAGGUCUGGCCGUUCUCCCCUGUCAAAAGAAUGACUCUGAAUUCGUAGUAGGGGUAUUUAUAGGUGAGGAGCGUGUCAAAAACAGACCCAAGUCCAGCGUGCCACCGUCGAGCGGCACACUUAAACCGCCCAAGUCCUGGACCGCCCAACGGUUUAAGUGUGC